rnacentral:rRNA from 1 species
AUUGAACGCUGGCGGCAUGCCUUACACAUGCAAGUCGAACGGCAGCACGGGAGCAAUCCUGGUGGCGAGUGGCGAACGGGUGAGUAAAGUAUCGGAACGUGCCCAGUCGUGGGGGAUAACGUAGCGAAAGUUACGCUAAUACCGCAUACGAUCUAUGGAUGAAAGCGGGGGAUCGCAAGACCUCGCGCGAUUGGAGCGGCCGACAUCAGAUUAGGUAGUUGGUGGGGUAAAGGCUCACCAAGCCGACGAUCUGUAGCUGGUCUGAGAGGACGACCAGCCACAUUGGGACUGAGACACGGUCCAGACUCCUACGGGAGGCAGCAGUGGGGAAUUUUGGACAAUGGGCGAAAGCCUGAUCCAGCCAUGCCGCGUGCAGGAUGAAGGCCUUCGGGUUGUAAACUGCUUUUGUACGGAACGAAAAGGUUUGGCCUAAUAAGCUGAGCUCAUGACGGUACCGUAAGAAUAAGCACCGGCUAACUACGUGCCAGCCGCCGCAGUAA